GAUGAACGCUGGCGGCGUGCCUAAUACAUGCAAGUCGAGCGAACAGACGAGGAGCUUGUUCCUCUGACGUUAGCGGCGGACGGGUGAGUAACACGUGGAUAACCUACCUAUAAGACUGGGAUAACUUCGGGAAACCGGAGCUAAUACCGGAUAAUAUAUUGAACCGCAUGGUUCAAUAGUGAAAGACGGUUUUGCUGUCACUUAUAGAUGGAUCCGCGCCGCAUUAGCUAGUUGGUAAGGUAACGGCUUACCAAGGCAACGAUGCGUAGCCGACCUGAUAGGGGGAUCGGCCACACGGGAACUGAAACACGGUCCAGACUCCUACGGGAGGCAGCAGUAGGGAAGCGUCGGCAGUGGGCGAAAGCUUGACGGAGCAACGCCGCGUGAGUGAUGAAGGUCUUCGGAUCGUAAAACUCUGUUAUUAGGGAAGAACAAAUGUGUAAGUAACUAUGCACGUCUUGACGGUACCUAAUCAGAAAGCCACGGCUAACUACGUG
rnacentral:rRNA from 1 species